CGGCAGAGCAGCGGGAGCUGAGCGCCGAGCUCGCGACCGUACAGGGAGCGCCGGUCUGCCCCGCCCUGGACCCAACCAAGCGUCCCGUGGAGGGGUGCGGCCACUUGGGGGCAGGAGAAAACGGAGUAAGCCACCCUUCUGGGCACCCAGGAAGCGAGGCGAGCCUCAGGUGGACGCGGUGGUGUAGACCACGACGAUCAGGGCCGUUCCCCGUGCUGUGGAGACGGAGGCUGAACCAAAUGCCAGGAGAAUCUUUCAGAGUGUCCUGGAACAUUGGAAAUAGCCUUAAAGCUUAAAUGAUGAAUCAGAAGAGUUAUGCUGUAUUCUAGUGCUGACACUAGGUUAUCAAGUCUCAUGCUGGAAGAAAGCUGUCCUGACUCAGAUCUUCUUGGUAAUAUAUUUUCCCAAUCCAUUAUGAUAACCUGUUUAGAUAUUUAGCUACUGUAUAGAAAUCGCCCUUGGGUUGGAGUGAGGGAAUACUCUUUGCCAAGAAAUAAACUGGAGAAGCUUUAUCUAGG
rnacentral:lncRNA from 1 species